GGAUGGAUGUCUGAGUAGUUGAACGAAUUGGUCUUGAAAACCAAAGUAUUGAUUGGAAUAUCAGGGGUUCGAAUCCCUCUCCAUCCA
rfam:Hordeum vulgare subsp. vulgare, WGS project CAJW01000000 data, contig: morex_contig_194529